ensembl:lncRNA
GGUGGGGUGGGGAAGAGGAGACUUGAGGAGCAAGCCCCUUGCGCAGGUCCAGACGAUCCGGAGGUAAAGGACACUGGGGCAGCGACCCGCUUCCCUUCAGCGCCCGGGGUGGCGCUCACCGUGCGCGCGGAGGCUGCUGGAGAUCCCGAGUGGGCGGCUGAGGGGACAAGGGUGGUGGUGCGUUCCGAGCAGUGUCGUGCGCUCCGUGGGCACAGGCUUCUGCGCCCGGUCCCCGCUGCGCGGAGGCUGCUGGAGAUCCCGAGUGGGCGGCUGAGGGGACAAGGGUGGUGGUGCGUUCCGAGCAGUGUCGUGCGCUCCGUGGGCACAGGCUUCUGCGCCCGGUCCCCGCUGCACCGAGCCGCUGCUAGUGAGGCGGAGAGCCGGGAGCGGGAGGGACUUAGGCAGCCAGCCCUCUGGGGCGGAGGGGCGGGAGAAGCGGCGGGCAGGGGCCUUCGUGGCCGCUCAGGCUGCCCGGCGCGAACGCCUGCGAGGAAGGACGCGCCUGGCCGCCGGUCCGCCCUGCCCGAGGCCCUGGCCUGAGGGGCGGCCGCCCGGUACAGGUCGGCAGGGCCCCAGGGAGGCUGCCGGAGCGGUUGCUUGAGUUUGGGGCGAAAUCGAAGCUAGGGUCCUUCAGGCGAAAUCGCUGGACGUCCAAACUGGGACAAUAGGUGUCAAGCAGCUGUAUCUGGAGCUGGCAACUGCCCCACGGAGAGCCCUUAUGCGGGGGUUCGGGGAGAAAAGGUUUCUGCAAGUAAGGGGUGCGUGGGGUGGGUGGUGCAAUCCCAGCUUCUAGAAUUCCUUUAUAUGCAGAGCGAGCAAACCCACACCUCAAAAGGUCUAAAGAGAAGUUGCCGCUUCCCCUACAACACAAUCACCUGGUAACCUAGGAGUUCUCUGUAGAACGCGCUGGAAAUGAGCAAGAUGGAUGGUUUUAAGUUAUAAAACUCUGGACUCAUGUUACAAAUAAUCUUCAGCUGUCUUAAGAUAACAUGUACCCAAUAGGCCUGAGUAUUAUGGAUCAGACUUUUUUCGUUUUGUUUUAGAUUUACCUAAAACUUUAAGCGAAUGUUAAAUGAACAUGAGAUUCUUUUUUUCCUCCAAGGGAAAUAUUCCAGCCUUGGAAUAAGGUUGUGGACGGUGAACAAAAGAAAGGCCAAAUGCUGGAGGAAAAUGUAUUAAAAGGAAUUUAAGCAGUGGAAAAUUCAGCAACACAAUGUAUGACAACAGUAAAUGACCCAGUUUAUUAUUUAAAUUCCAAGAAAAGGAUUUAGGAAAGGAUGCUACCAAACCCACUGUUUACUGGAGAAUAAAAUGAGUAAUACUGGUUGGCAACGUGUAUCCUGAGGGAGCCUGGAGAAGCAGCAGCCUACAUCCUCAAGAUAUUCCAGUUAGUUGCAGUCUGUUGUCUAUUCAUUCAAAUAUUUAUAGGGCACCUUACUAUGCCUUAGGAACUCUUUAACGCUAGGGAUUGUAAACAAUUUCUAUGUGCAUGGAGCUUCAUUCUAAGUCAGGAGGAGAUAUCAGAGUGAAGAGGUAGAGGAAAAAAAAGCUGGUCAGGAAAAGCGUUAGUGACAUUUGAGCCAAGACUGAAGGAAAAAGGUCACUCACUUAUCUUGGAGGAAGAAUUUUCCAGGUAGA